UGGGGAAUUUUGGACAAUGGGCGAAAGCCUGAUCCAGCAAUACCGCGUGCAGGACGAAGGCCUUCGGGUUGUAAACUGCUUUUGUACGGAACGAAACGGUUCAGAUUAAUACUCUGAACUAAUGACGGUACCGUAAGAAUAAGCACCGGCUAACUACGUGCCAGCAGCCGCGGUAAUACGUAGGGUGCAAGCGUUAAUCGGAAUUACUGGGCGUAAAGCGUGCGCAGGCGGUUAUGUAAGACAGGCGUGAAAUCCCCGAGCUCAACUUGGGAAUUGCGUUUGUGACUGCAUAGCUAGAGUACGGCAGAGGGGGAUGGAAUUCCGCGUGUAGCAGUGAAAUGCGUAGAUAUGCGGAGGAACACCGAUGGCGAAGGCAAUCCCCUGGGCCUGUACUGACGCUCAUGCACGAAAGCGUGGGGAGCAAACAGG
rnacentral:rRNA from 1 species